CCUACGGGAGGCAGCAGUAAGGAAUAUUGGUCAAUGGACGAAAGUCUGAACCAGCCAUGCCGCGUGAAGGAUGAAGGCCCUCUGGGUUGUAAACUUCUUUUAUAGGGGACGAAAAAAGGGAAUUCUUUCCCACUUGACGGUACCCUAGGAAUAAGCACCGGCUAACUCCGUGCCAGCAGCCGCGGUAAUACGGAGGGUGCAAGCGUUAUCCGGAUUUACUGGGUUUAAAGGGUGCGUAGGUGGGCAGUUAAGUCAGUGGUGAAAUCUCCGAGCUUAACUCGGAAACUGCCAUUGAUACUAUCUGUCUUGAAUAUCCUGGAGGUGAGCGGAAUAUGUCAUGUAGCGGUGAAAUGCUUAGAUAUGACAUAGAACACCAAUUGCGAAGGCAGCUCACUACGGGAUUAUUGACACUGAGGCACGAAAGCGUGGGGAUCAAACAGGAUUAGAUACCCUGGUAGUCCACGCCCUAAACUAUGGAUACUCGACAUCAGCGAUACACUGUUGUGUCUGAGNGAGANAUAGUAUCCACGNGAGACGAGUGNGAGAGUUAGUAAGUUACAAUAGAGUUGAGCGNGAGAGNGCGACGGACGACGACGAGGGAGGAGG
rnacentral:rRNA from 1 species